rnacentral:rRNA from 1 species
UGAGGAAUAUUGGUCAAUGGGCGCAAGCCUGAACCAGCCAUGCCGCGUGCAGGAAGAAGGUCCUAUGGAUUGUAAACUGCUUUUAUUUGGGAAUAAACCUCUGGUCGUGCACCGGAGCUGAAGGUACCAAAUGAAUAAGCACCGGCUAACUCCGUGCCAGCAGCCGCGGUAAUACGGAGGGUGCAAGCGUUAUCCGGAAUCAUUGGGUUUAAAGGGUCCGCAGGCGGACUUAUAAGUCAGUGGUGAAAGCCUACAGCUUAACUGUAGAACUGCCAUUGAUACUGUAAGUCUUGAAUUCGGUCGAAGUGGGCGGAAUGUGUAGUGUAGCGGUGAAAUGCUUAGAUAUUACACAGAACACCGAUAGCGAAGGCAGCUCACUAGGCCUGGAUUGACGCUCAGGGACGAAAGCGUGGGGAUCAAACAGG